rnacentral:misc_RNA from 1 species
UCACCCCUCAAGCCCCUUGGGUUUGGCAUUGGACGGCCUGGUUUCGGUUAACGAAACCCCUCCUAAAGUGAAUGACGGCGGCUUGUCUGACCCCCGGUACACUGAGCUUCUUCACUGAGCACGUAUCGGUUCAAGUGGUUGACAGACGACGGUCUCCUCCCUCUCACCAGGGAAAAGAAGUUCAUUCUUCUUUAUUUUUACAA